rnacentral:misc_RNA from 1 species
ACCUACUCAAAAGAGGGAUAGUCCUCAAAAGCUUAAUCUUUAAUGGCGAUUUCUCCAAGUGCUACCUUAACAUCUCAAUUCCUCAAUUAUCAAAGACCAAAUGACCAUAAAUGCCCUUCUUCUUCUUCACUGCCAUUCAGUAAAUCAAACUCAAGUACCCUACUUAUUGGUCCUUCAAGUGUAUCAUUACGAAAUGGCCAGAAAUCUAGGAGAUCUCUCCACGUUCAUGGCUUGUUUGGUGGAAAAAAGGAUAAUAACAGUGAUGAUAAUUCCUCAAAGGCUGGAGUACUUGGAAACAUGCAAAAUCUGUAUGAAACUGUAAAGAAGGCACAAAUGGUUGUUCAAGUCGAGGCAGUUCGUGUGCAGAAAGAACUUGCAGCUGCAGAGUUUGAUGGCUACUGUGAAGGUGAACUUAUAAAGGCAACACUUUCUGGUAACCAACAGCCGGUGCGCAUUGAAAUAACUGACGCUGCAAUGGACAUGGGAUCUGAUAAACUGUCACUUCUGGUAACAGAGGCGUACAAGGACGCGCACCAGAAAAGUGUACUGGCAAUGAAGGAGAGAAUGAGCAAUCUUGCUCAGAGCUUAGGGAUGCCAGCAGGAUUAGAAGGAAUGAAGUAAUCAGAAAAAUAAGUUACAGUUUUUGUUUAUAGUUUUAUUUUUACAUUUUGUGCAAAAACACUGUGAAGCAAAAAUGAGCUUUCA